AAUUUGUCCCACCCCUACUUCUUUUGCUAUCUUCUCCUUCUUCCUUUUCAGCUAUCUAGAAAUUAGAGAGAGAGAGAGAGAGAGAGAGAGAGAGAGAAGAUGAGUUGCAAUGGCUGUCGAGCUCUGAGGAAGGGAUGCAGCCAGUCUUGCAUACUAAGGCCGUGUUUGGAUUGGAUCGACUGCCCUCAGGCCCAAAGCAACGCUACCCUAUUCGUCUCCAAAUUCUUUGGCCGAAGCGAUCUCAUGUCCCUCAUUGCCGCCGUGCCCGAAAAAAAUCGUCCCGCUCUAUUUCAGUCUCUCUUGUUCGAAGCCUGCGGUCGAACGGUGAAUCCGGUGAACGGAGCCAUCGGUCUCCUCUCCACCGGCAACUGGCACAUAUGCCAGCUCGCCGUCAGCACGGUUCUCUCAGGUGGAACUUUGCGGCCAUUCCGCGCCGGAAUUUUAACCCCGCAGACCGACGAAGCAUCCGAAGCUUUUCGUUGUGCUAAGAAAUGGUACAACAAUAAUACCAAACAGUCCGAUUUCGAGAAGAAUGCGGUGACCAUAUCGUUCAACUCGGAAGACUCGGCCGGUACGUUGAUCAGUUUCGACGGCACCGAUUGUGAUGUGAAGAAUCUGGGAGGAGAAGACAAAAAGCUAUUGAACCUGUUUGUAUGAUCAAAAUUGCCGAAUUGGAAUUAGAAUUUCCGGCGACUUUGAAUGCCGAUCAUCAGUUCAAACCUUUUUUUGAACUCUAGAGUACGUGCUAGCUUUUUGAUGAAUAAAAGUCAGAACAACUUUCCGAAAUA